ACUCCUACGGGAGGCAGCAGUGGGGAAUUUUGGACAAUGGGGGAAACCCUGAUCCAGCCAUCCCGCGUGUGCGAUGAAGGCCUUCGGGUUGUAAAGCACUUUUGUCAGGAAAGAAACGUCGUGGGUUAAUACCCCGCGAAACUGACGGUAC
rnacentral:rRNA from 1 species